rnacentral:lncRNA from 1 species
GUAGUCCUGUAAGCGCGCGGAGCCCGUCGGGCGCCUAUGGAACUCGACCCGCAGGCCAAAGGGGCUCCGUUGCAAGGAAGAAGUGCGGGGUCCCGCCGCCUCCUAGACCGAGAUCGCGGAGCCAGCUGGUCCACCAGAAGUCUGUGUUCUGCCUGUCCCUGCAGCACGGAGGGCUGGGCUUUAUACCUGUGCCAAGGACACCAACGGCAGCAUCAGCAAGUCCGUGUUGUCUCCCAAAUAAGUGGUGUUCUCCAACAAGCUUUUAGCAGUAAUAAAGCUGACAUUUUUAUUCUCAUAUGUCCCUUGUCUCUUUUUCAAUGAUUUAGAUUUAAGCAGGAAAGCCUGGGUUCCUUUUGUGUGUGUGUGACAGGGUCUCUGUCGCUCAGGAUGGAGUGCAGUGGCGCGAUCAAAGUUCACUGCAGCCUUGACCUCAAGCAAUCCUCCCACCUCAGCCUCCAAGUAGCUGGGAUCACAGGCUUGCAUCACCAUGCCCAGCGAAUUUUUUUUUUCUAGACACGGUCUCACUAUGUCACUCAGGCUGGUCUAGAACUCCUGGCCUCAAGUAAUUCUUCUGCCUCCACCUCCCAAAGUGCUGGGAUUACAGGUAUGAGCCACCAUACCUUGCCUUUUUUUUGACAUGGAGUCUGACUCUGUCACCCAGGCUGGAGUGCAGUGGCACGAUCUCAACUCACUGCAACCUCCACCUCCUGGGUUCAAGCGAUUCUCCUGCCUCAGCCUCCAGAGUAGCUGGGAUUACAGACGUGCGCCACCACACCUGGCUAAUUUUUGCAUUUUUAGUAGAGACAAGUUUUCACCAUGGGCUCCAGUUUUACCAUGUUGGCCAGGCUGGUCUUGAACACCUGACCUCAAGUGAUCCGC